UACGUAGGUGGCAAGCGUUGUCCGGAUUUACUGGGCGUAAAGGGCGCGUAGGCGGCGUGGUAAGUCACUUGUGAAAUCUCUGAGCUUAACUCAGAACGGCCAAGUGAUACUGCUGUGCUAGAGUGCAGAAGGGGCAAUCGGAAUUCCUGGUGUAGCGGUGAAAUGCGUAGAUAUCAAGAGGAACACCUGAGGUGAAGACGGGUUGCUGGGCUGACACUGACGCUGAGGCGCGAAAGCCAGGGGAGCAAACGGG
rnacentral:rRNA from 1 species